UGAUGUUGGUUUCGGCUUUUGUGCGCCUCGGAUAUUUCCAACGUUUUGUUACACAAGAUGCCGUGAGAACAAGGGGGCUAAAGGUGGAAGAUGCCUUUGGGGUGAAGGCGGUAAUGUUAAGUGCUUAUGCGACUUCUGCAACGAUCAACCUUAAUCACAGUUGAAUUUCUAAGCAAUCGCUAAUAUAUUAUGGCCGUAAACACCGUAUGUUUGAAUAUUUUGUUAUGUUCUUCCACAAGUUUUAGUCAUGGUUUGUGUGAUAAUGAAUGUUAAUGGUCUCCAAGUAAUAAUCUAAUAAUGUAAUAUGAAAUCAAGAAUAAUGAAAAGUACGACUUUCUUCGUUUAAUUUCAUAUGUUUUGGUAUACUUUGACUAAGAGAAACUUUUGGUAUACUUUGAAAUCAAGAAUAAUGAAAACGUGCGACUUUUGUUUGCGUAAUUAUUGUUUCUUGGCAUUCACAUGUAACACGUACAUGUAUAUAUAUAUAUAUAUAUAUAUAUUUAUAUAUACUUACUAUUUUCUCCGUAUUAUUUUAAAUAGUGUUUUAGCCGAAAUAAUGUUAGCUGCACCUUACAAAAAUGAGUAAUUUUAUUGUUGUAUUGGUUAUUACAGAUAAAACAGAGGUAUAUAUUACAUUACACAAAAAUAAAUAUUAAUUAUUACAAAAGAAAUUAACAUGUGUGUAUUAAGUCAAAUUAAGCAUCACUUAAUAUGAAUAUAUGGCGUAUAUGGAUACGGUAGAUUGUCUUGCCACCUAAUCUUAUUUAGCAGCUAAAGAUGAAUUUCUAAAUGUGACGUACUGACGUAUAAACAAUAAAUUUUAUUAUAAAAAUGAAUUAUAAAAUCUAGAGAGAGAGGUGGCACCAAAAAAAAAAAUCGAGAGAGAGAGAGAGAGAGAGAGUGCAUGUAUAAUUGAACGAAAGUUUCCUUGGCACACUUGGUUUAAUCGUGGUUGGUAUACUAUUUGGUAGAGGCAAAGAAAAUAAUUAACUGUUAUGCUUCGCUACGUACUUUGCAAUUUUGCAUAAGCCAAAUUACUCGUCCAAAAUUUUGCUACGUACGUGCAGAACUUUGACUCCUUCUCUUGAACAUGCAAAAUUCAAAAAUGCUUCUUCACGUCUAUAAAUAUAUACAAAUAGUAACUUAUUAUCAUGUGAAAUCAGUACUACCUAAUCAUUAAAGAUGUGAUCCAUUGACUUUAAUUAAAGUGCUAUCUAAACUGUCCAAUUAGAACACAUGCAAAUGACCCCAAAUCUCUCUAUCAUCUUCUUAAAUAGGUCACUACAGCCACAAUCACUACCAUUGGAAAACAGUUGCUUGGUUUGAUUUUUAGACCACGUAACCACCGUUUGUGAGCCUCCGAAAAGGGGGUGCCGUAUGUUAUACAUUAUACACCAUGGCUGCAAACCCAAACGCAAUCGCAACCACCGUUUGUUUGGGUCUUUCGCGUUAUGUUCUUGCACUAAGUUUUAAUCAUGGUUUGUGUAAUACUCCAAUAAAUGUGUGAAUGGUCCAAGUAAUCAUAAAAUAUUGAAUAAUUGAAAUAAAGAAAUAAUGAAAAAUACGACUUUGUUUUCUGUGUAGUUAUGUGGAUAAGUGAUAACGUUUUACGGCCACAACGUUAUGAGGAUAAGUCAAUAACUUUGAAGAAACCCUCAAACUUCAAAGUUACAUUACUGUGUUUCAUGUGACUCUGUUCGUAUUUGUUCAUAUUAAAGAAUAUUGACAAGUAACAAAAAAAAAAAAAGCAAGGGAUUAAGAACCGAAGUGGAAACUAUAUUAAUUAAGUUGUCGGUUGGUAGCUUAUAUGAAGUAAAGAAGAAUGACUAAUUUUUUUUGGUAAAGAAAAGAAGAAUGACUUGAACGAUUUUUGGGGAACAAAGGAUCAUUACACUUGUCUCGUGAGAAUAAAUAAAAAUUUGGGUGUCAUGUGCACAUGGAGAAUCAAUAUCGAUGAAAAUAUUAACAAUUCAUGUGGGUCGAUAUAUUUGAGGCGUCAUUCCGUAUAUUAUUGAGAUCUAAGACAUGUGGAUGGUGGGAAAGAUUCCAAGUCAGAAGGUCUUAAAGACCCGAUUGGUUUAGUUUUGACAUGGUUCGGUUUCGUAUGACUAAGCAGGGUGGUUUGGUCCUAAAGUGAAGAUAAAUAGCCCCAACACCAAGUGUCAACACAUAUCAGAAAACCCAAAGUUGAGAUCAACAGAGAGAAAAUGGCCAAGGCAAUGAAACCCGUUUCCAUCUUCGUUUUCUUCUUCAUCUUCUUUUUGGUUAUCUCUGGUAUGUCUCUUUUGACAUAUUUUGUUAGUAUUCUCAUAGUACGCUUGUAUAUUCCGUUUUCCCAUGCUUUCCGUACGUCGGUCAAACCAACGAUUCUCUUCUCUUCUAAUUCUCUGUGAUCGAAGCAAAUCCAUGAUAUGUGAUACUAUUUUCUUAUGUGAUAACAGAGGUGCCGGAGAUAGAAGCGCAGGAUAUAUAGCGAGUGCUUGAAAGAAUACGGUGGUGAUGUUGGUUUCGGCUUUUGUGCGCCUCGGAUAUUUCCAACGUUUUGUUACACAAGAUGUCGUGAGAACAAGGGGGCUAAAGGUGGAAGAUGCCUUUGGGGUGAAGGCAUUGAUGUUAAGUGCUUAUGCGACUUCUGCAACGAUCAACCCAUAGUCACAAUUUGAAUGUCUAAGCAGUCGCUAAUAUAUUAUGGCCGCCGUAUCUUUUGUUAUGUUCUUCCACAAGUUUUAGUCAUGGUUUGUAAUGGUCCCCAAGUAAUACUCUAAUAAUGUAAUAUGAAAUAAAGAAUAAUGAAA
rnacentral:lncRNA from 1 species